GACGAACGCUGGUGGCGUGCUUAACACAUGCAAGUCGAACGGGAUUUAGUAAACAGAAGCCUCGGUGGAAGAUUACUAAUGAGAGUGGCGAACGGGUGAGUAACGCGUGAGCAACCUGCCUAUGACAGUGGGAUAGCCUCGGGAAACCGGGAUUAAUACCGCAUAAAAUCGUAGAAACACAUGUUUUAACGGUCAAAGAUUUAUCGGUCAUAGAUGGGCUCGCGUCUGAUUAGCUAGUUGGUGAGAUAACAGCCCACCAAGGCGACGAUCAGUAGCCGGUCUGAGAGGAUGAACGGCCACAUUGGAACUGAGACACGGUCCGAACUCCUACGGGAGGCAGCAGUGGGGAAUAUUGCACAAUGGGGGAAACCCUGAUGCAGCGACGCCGCGUGAACGAAGAAGGUAUUCGUAUCGUAAAGUUCUGUCCUAUGGGAAGAUAAUGACAGUACCAUAGAAGAAAGCUCCGGCUAAAUACGUG
rnacentral:rRNA from 1 species